UCACAUGCUUUUCGUCUUCCCUGAGCUAACGCCGUGGGGCUGUGGAAUAAGAUGUCCCAGAAUGUCAUCAGCUCUACCGGUCAGUUUAGCCCUUUUGAAGGUAAAUCUGGUCUGUACGAAACGGAAGAAGAAGGAACAGAAGCCAAAGAGACAAGUUUAAGCUUUGAUUGCUACAGAGUCUAGAACAAAUCUACAACAUUUUGACAAGGAACUAAGGAACUUCAGAUAUUCAUUUGGAAUUGUCAAAUCUCUUCCAUUUUCAUUUCUCACACUGUAUAUUUUCAGCAUGCAAGACACGUACAGCAACAAGCGGACAUGUAUAGUGUUCAAGUCCUGCGACCAAGCCCUCAAAGCGAGCAGUGACUCCCUGUGGCCUAUGACACAUUGGUUGGAGCAAGUGAUAUUCGAUAAUUGACGACAACUUCGACGACGACCAUGACCCCAGAUCAUCACAGCGCAGUGGGCCGAUCAGGUUGUGGAGCGCCGUGAGAGCUCAUGGACUCUGGAAUUCUCACCACUGUCAUUGUCGAGGCACGAUCAGGGCUUUAUGCAUAACAAAUAUUAUGGUAACAUUGUCAUUACAUGAUAACUAAUUAUAAUUUUCAAGUUGGGACUGGGACUGGAGAACCCCCCCCCCCCCACUCUUUCUGAAGGAUUUUUUCUUUAUUUUCACAAGAAUAGUUUUGGUCGAAUUCCCUUGAAUAUUUUGUCCGAUUUGACUAUUCCUACAACUCAGGGGCCGCGGAACGGUUUUCAAAGUGGGGGAUGACCAUGCAAAAAAUCACAAUCAUAUGGUCAUUUUUACGUUUUUGUACAUGGUUUUGGAAAAAAGUGGGGGCUGAACCCCCCCCCCCCCCCCGCUUCCGCGGCCCCUGCAACUCAAGUCUUUAAAUAAUGCUCUUUAUCAGUUUUAGAUAGCUUUUUUGUUUCUUUUUCUUUUUAAGUUCGAUCCCUAUUUUUGUCUCUUUAAAGGACAAGUCCACCCCAACAAACAGUUGAUUUGAAUAAAAAGAGAAAAAUCCAACAUGCAAAGCAUUGACAUUUCAUCAAAAUCGGAUGUAAAAAAAAAAAGUUCUAAAGUUUCGCUAAAAUUGAUUUCACAAAACAGUUAUAUGCACAUCCCGGUCGAUAUGCAAUUAUGAAAUGUUUUAAUUUUCUCCUCAUUGUCAAGUGAAACAUCGAUAAGUUGGUCCUUAUCGUCAUAUUUGUAAAAAAUGAAGUAUUGUAUAUAUAAUUCCAACAAUAUAAAACAAAAGAAAUAGUGAGUGAGUGACAUCAUCGGCUGUCUCAUUUGCAUGUUACUGAGUUGUGCAUAUCUCUGUUUAUUCAAAUCAACAUUUUUCUUGGGUGACCUAGACCUUCAAAUUAAUUUGGGCAGUAUUUUACCCAAUGCGGGAAGCAUGCUGUCCAGUAAAGUUAAAAAAAAAUAAGCAGCAACUAAAGAAUGGGAAAAAUUUUCAUCACGCUGGAUAAACAAAAUGGCCAAAAGAAAUGCCCAAUGUUGGUUGGACGCAUAAUUACCCUCAUGGAGCACCUUUACCCAAUAUUUUUAGAGUGUUUAUUUUAGCAAAACUAUAAUGCCAUGUCAGGCCUAUAAUAGUAAAUUACAUCCGAAGGGGCCCUGAAAACUGCAGGUAUGCCUGUAGGAUAUAUGCAUUAUUUUAUCUCUGAAAGCUUCAUUAGUAUUAUUAUUAUUACUAUUGUUUUUUUAGGGGGGGGUAGUUUAAAUCAAUUUCAUUUUAUUUCAUCUUGGUGAAAUAAUACUUCAUAACUACUCUACAGAACCAUGUCACUAAAAAGGGCAGUUCAAAUUAUUAGCAAUGUUAAUUAUCGUCGACAUAAUUAUACAGACGUAUUUUUUAAAAUUAGAUAUUUUUGAAGGUAUAUGAACUAAUUCUUGCCGUGCUUAUAUUUUGUUUCAAAAGAUAAAAUCAUGAACUUUCCCCCAUCAGAAUUUAUCGUGAAUAUGAGUGGGUAUCCUGCCAAGCAAGUAAAACUUACCUAGAACCCAUAAUGCGUUCACGCAUUUAAAGUUUUGUAUGUUUACUUCCUCAACAUUUUGGAAUUCCCUGCCCAUUAUAUAAAAGAAAAAAAACACGCUAAAAUUAGAACUAAAAGGGUCUCGUUCCAUUAUAGAACCAUUAUGUUAUAGUUACAUCACCUCAUAUUGUAUAUUUCAUAUUCUUUAUACUUUAAAAAAUGCCCCCCCCCCUCAAAAAAAAAAAAAAAAAAAAAAAAAACGAGAAAUAAUAAUAAAAGGAUAUUCUGGUUUUCGUGAUGGGACACCUCAAAAAAAUCUGUAACUCGGGUUUGAGGGAUGAUUUUUUGUCACUGAUAUGCGAAACCGAAACUGCUAUCAUUUGAUGCAUUCAUUAUUCCUCAUUUCAUCGAUGUACCGUAAUGUUCUUUAUUAGUAACCAUUGAAUAUGCAUUUAUGCUCAAUAUUGGGCAAAGACCAGGUAGAGUCGGGAGUGAAAUGUUAAUCUUAAAUUUUUAUUAAAUACAUGUAAUGAAACCAACAUCUCAAACUUGUUUAUUUUCCCAACUCGUUAGAAAUGAAGGAGUUCAACGUAAUUCCAAAAAUUCAAUAUAAUCUUGCAAAUGUAAAUAAUAUGUGGACUUUAGCGCACUAUCGUGUGAUAAAAAUAUUCAAAUUCUUUCCAUCAUCGAAACAAUCGGGAAUUCUCUACUGGAAACUAAUGUUUUAAACUUUUUUUUAAUAAUUACAUUGAUCACAUAUAUCAGGACUGCAUAUCCCAUGAUUAAAUUGGUACAACUUAUGGCACAUCAUUGUAAAGAGGAAUAAUACGCUUCCCAGUGAUGCCAUUUCCACAUAAUGGAGCAAUAAGAUAUUUAUAACCUCUAACUAUUAGUAGGAGAACUUUUUAGGGGGAUAAAUAUCCAUAAGCCAAGAACGUAUUAUUUGUAUCAAAUCAUUGUUUAUUUUACGUUAAUGUUUGACAACGCUAAAUGGGCCCUUAUUACAAUGACGAAAAUUGAAAUUUCCAAAUUAUAAUUUCUAGUAUGAAUUGUAAAAAUAACAAAGCGUUAGAGUAAAAAAUCUGCGAAAUAUACUUCUGCUUAAUGACAUUAGCCUCGCACACUGACAUUCUUUUGUCACGAUAAUAUUUCUGAUAGAAAGAACAAAGUGUCCACAGUGAGUACCACAAACUGCACACAAAUGAAAUCAUCUUUACACUGUUUUUAUUUGAGCAUAUGAACAGUGAGAAUCACGUUUCCAUAUUGGCCAUGAUGUGGACACACUGCUUGACACCGUGCUCUUUACAUUUAUUGUAACAUUUUGAUUAAAUGGUAUUGU